CAGCUUGCUGCUUCGCUGACGAGUGGCGGACGGGUGAGUAAUGUCUGGGAAACUGCCUGAUGGAGGGGGAUAACUACUGGAAACGGUAGCUAAUACCGCAUAAUGUCGCAAGACCAAAGAGGGGGACCUUCGGGCCUCUUGCCAUCGGAUGUGCCCAGAUGGGAUUAGCUUGUUGGUGAGGUAACGGCUCACCAAGGCGACGAUCCCUAGCUGGUCUGAGAGGAUGACCAGCCACACUGGAACUGAGACACGGUCCAGACUCCUACGGGAGGCAGCAGUGGGGAAUAUUGCACAAUGGGCGCAAGCCUGAUGCAGCCAUGCCGCGUGUAUGAAGAAGGCCUUCGGGUUGUAAAGUACUUUCAGCGGGGAGGAAGGGAGUAAAGUUAAUACCUUUGCUCAUUGACGUUACCCGCAGAAGAAGCACCGGCUAACUCCGUGCCAGCAGCCGCGGUAAUACGGAGGGUGCAAGCGUUAAUCGGAAUUACUGGGCGUAAAGCGCACGCAGGCGGUUUGUUAAGUCAGAUGUGAAAUCCCCGGGCUCAACCUGGGAACUGCAUCUGAUACUGGCAAGCUUGAGUCUCGUAGAGGGGGGUAGAAUUCCAGGUGUAGCGGUGAAAUGCGUAGAGAUCUGGAGGAAUACCGGUGGCGAAGGCGGCCCCCUGGACGAAGACUGACGCUCAGGUGCGAAAGCGUGGGGAGCAAACAGGAUUAGAUACCCUGGUAGUCCACGCCGUAAACGAUGUCGACUUGGAGGUUGUGCCCUUGAGGCGUGGCUUCCGGAGCUAACGCGUUAAGUCGACCGCCUGGGGAGUACGGCCGCAAGGUUAAAACUCAAAUGAAUUGACGGGGGCCCGCACAAGCGGUGGAGCAUGUGGUUUAAUUCGAUGCAACGCGAAGAACCUUACCUGGUCUUGACAUCCACGGAAGUUUUCAGAGAUGAGAAUGUGCCUUCGGGAACCGUGAGACAGGUGCUGCAUGGCUGUCGUCAGCUCGUGUUGUGAAAUGUUGGGUUAAGUCCCGCAACGAGCGCAACCCUUAUCCUUUGUUGCCAGCGGUCCGGCCGGGAACUCAAAGGAGACUGCCAGUGAUAAACUGGAGGAAGGUGGGGACGACGUCAAGUCAUCAUGGCCCUUACGACCAGGGCUACACACGUGCUACAAUGGCGCAUACAAAGAGAAGCGACCUCGCGAGAGCAAGCGGACCUCAUAAAGUGCGUCGUAGUCCGGAUUGGAGUCUGCAACUCGACUCCAUGAAGUCGGAAUCGCUAGUAAUCGUGGAUCAGAAUGCCACGGUGAAUACGUUCCCGGGCCUUGUACACACCGCCCGUCACACCAUGGGAGUGGGUUGCAAAAGAAGUAGGUAGCUUAACCUUCGGGAGGGCGCUUACCACUUUGUGAUUCAUGACUGGGGUGAAGUCGUAACAAGGUAACCGUAGGGGAACCUGCGGUUGGAUCACCUCCUU
rnacentral:rRNA from 1 species